CUCAACCAACUCAACCAUGAUUCCAUUGUGUAAAACCAUGACCUAAAAAAAUAUAAAAAGGGAACAAAAUGCAUAAAUGAAAAAAAAAACUCAUAAAUCUCAAAAAAGAAAAUAUAGCACACUGGAAUCAAACCCAAGUCAUGGGAAUUGGAAAACCGAAGCCUCGAUCAUCUCAACCAUGAACCUCAAUCUGUCAAACAAUGGAAAUG
rnacentral:lncRNA from 1 species